UGGGGAAUAUUGGACAAUGGGCGAAAGCCUGAUCCAGCCAUGCCGCGUGUGUGAAGAAGGUCUUCGGAUUGUAAAGCACUUUAAGUUGGGAGGAAGGGCAUUAACCUAAUACGUUAGUGUUUUGACGUUACCGACAGAAUAAGCACCGGCUAACUCUGUGCCAGCAGCCGCGGUAAUACAGAGGGUGCAAGCGUUAAUCGGAAUUACUGGGCGUAAAGCGCGCGUAGGUGGUUUGUUAAGUUGGAUGUGAAAUCCCCGGGCUCAACCUGGGAACUGCAUUCAAAACUGACUGACUAGAGUAUGGUAGAGGGUGGUGUAAUUUCCUGUGUAGCGGUGAAAUGCGUAGAUAUAGGAAGGAACACCAGUGGCGAAGGCGACCACCUGGACUAAUACUGACACUGAGGUGCGAAAGCGUGGGGAGCAAACA
rnacentral:rRNA from 1 species